rnacentral:rRNA from 1 species
UAAAAACCCCGACUUCGGAAGGGGUGUAUUUAUUAGAUACAAAACCAAUGCCCUUCGGGGCUCUUUGGUGAUUCAUGAUAACUAUACGAAUCGCACGGCCUUGCGCCGGCGAUGGUUCAUUCAAAUUUCUUCCCUAUCAACUUUCGAUGUUUGGGUAUUGGCCAAACAUGGUUGCAACGGGUAACGGAGGGUUAGGGCUCGACCCCGGAGAAGGAGCCUGAAAAACGGCUACUACAUCCAAGGAAGGCAGCAGGCGCGCAAAUUACCCAAUCCCGACUCGGGGAGGUAGUGACAAUAAAUACUGAUGCAGGGCCCUUUCGGGCCUUGUAAUUGGAAUGAGUACAAUUUAAAUCCCUUAACGAGGAACAAUUGGAGGGCAAGUCUGGUACCAGCAGCCGCGGUAAUUCCAGCUCCAAUAGCGUAUAUUAAAGUUGUUGUGGUUAAAAAGCUCGUAGUUGAACCUUGGGCCUGGCUGGCGGGUCCGCCUCACCGCGUGCACUGGUCCGGCGGGGCCUUUCCCUCUGUGGAACCCCAUACCCUUCACUGGGUGUGGGGGGGGAAACAUGAUAUUUACUU